GGGGGUUUGAAAUGGGGAGGGGGCUCAGGGAAGGUUCCAGAAGUGGGGGGCACACCCCAAAAUUGGGGGGCUCAGAACCGGGGGGGUCCUGAAAGGGGGGGGGGGGCGAGUGUGAACUGGGGGGGUUGGGAAUUUGGGGGGGGGUCCUGGGUGGUCCCAAAUAACCCCAGACCCCUCCCCCCACCAGGGUUCACCCCCCCCUCAGCGCCGAGCUGGAGUCACUCCCUGAGGAGGAUGAAAUGAGGGCGCUGGCCAGGCUGGGAGCGCAGCUGAUGCUCUGCAGGGCCGACGACCUCGCCCUGGUGGAGGGCACAGCCCCCCCCCGAGCAGCAGCUCCAGUUCCUUCAGGACCUUUUGGACGCCGUCCCCCCCCUUGAGACCCCCCCCAAAACCAGGUCUGGACCCCCCCACACACCCCCCUGAUACCCCCAGCCCCAAAAUCCACCCAAAUACCCCAAAAUCCCCUCAAAAUCCCCCCAAAAUCCCCCCAAAUCCACCCAAAAUCCCCUCAAACCUACCAAAAUCCCCCCAACAUCCCCCCCAAAACCACCCAAAAUCCUCUCAAAUCUCCCAAAAUCCCCCCAAAAUCCCAUUUUCCCCCCAAAAAGGCCCCCCCAAACCACCCAGUUCCUGCUGAAGCUGCUGGAGACCCCCGAGGGGGGGGCGGCCCUGAGACCCCCGCCCCCCCCCCCAGUUCCUGUGGAGCUCUCCGAGACCCCCCCCAGACCCAGGAGACCCCUCCCCGAAUUGGAGGCGGAAUUGGGGGGGGUCCGGCGGGGCCUGGAGGAGCUGCAGGCCCAGCUGUCAAAUUUAGGGGGGUCCCCGGCCCCCUCCCCCCCAAAUUUGGGGGUCCUGGUGGGGACUCUGACCUCGUUGGCUGCAGAUUUUGGGGCCUCUGAGCUCCGGGGCCCCCUGGCACCCCCCCAGGACCCCCCAAAUUUGGGGGGAAGGGGGCCGGGUCCCCCCUGUGGGGAGGGGGCUGCGGAAUCUCAGCCAGGUGAGGGGGGGAAUUUUGGGAGGAAUUUGGGGAGGGGGUUUGGAUUUGGGGGAUUUUUGGAGGGAAUUUG
rnacentral:lncRNA from 1 species